CGUACACUAAACACAUUUGCCCCUACGUUCCUAUCAAUCCCCCACCCCCCCCACACACAAAUACAUUCACACACACAUUCUCUCUCACAUACAAAUACAUUCAGAGACACAUUCUCUCUCACACACAAGUACAUUCACACACAUAUUCUCUCUCUCUCUCUCUCUCUCACACACACACACACUAUUUACAGUGGCCAAUUAACCUACAAAUUCACACUCUUCGGGUCGUGUGGGAAAGUCAGAGCACGCAGAGAAAAGCCACGCCAGUACUGAGAGAACGCGCAAACUCCACACAGACGGCGUCAGGAAAUGAAAUUCAGCGGCAGAUAGUCGGAGAUAGAAGAGAUUCUGCAGAUGCUGGCAAUCCAGAGCAACACACAUAAGGUGCUGGAGAAACUCAGCAGGUCGGGCAGCAUCCAUGGAUGGGAAUAAAGAAUCGACAUUUCAGGCCAUCAAGUGGACCGUUCAUUUUCAUAGAUGCAUUCGAUCAAAUGGGAAUUUCUAUGGACCAAGGCCAGUCCAUUCAGAGGCAGGAAGGGAAGCUCUUCCUCCCACAGAAACGAUGCUGAUGUUCUUAUUGUAUUCAUCGUGAGGGAGAGUGAAAAAACAGAACAGAACCAAGGAAUUCCCUUCUCUCCCUACCACCACGUCUGGGGUCUCCUUGGUCCAUCUAUUAUUAUCAGCAGCUGUGAAGACAGAGGUGUGGUGUUAAUGCUGAGCUGAGGCCACAGACACUACAGGAGUCAUGCCCUAAGACCAUAAGACCCAGGAGCAGAAUUAGACCAUUUGUCCCAUUGACUCUGCCCCACCAUUCCAUCAUGGGUGAAUCGUGUGCCCACCCUGUGUCUCUGCCCUGUUGAAAGGGGACUGAACUAUGACAGUGUUGUGUUGCGUCAUACUGAACAGAUGGUAAAUGCAGAGAAAUAAAAUGAGAGAGAUUGCGGCACCCAAGGAGGUUCUUCUUGACCGGAGCCAUGGUUCUCACAGCUCUAAGCUGAGGAGAAAGAGAAACAUCGCAUUUACAUCACUUUCUUCAACGCUCCAUCCAAUGAAUUACCUGACAGUAAGACAUGGCUACGCACAGUGGACCAGCUGUUAGACGUAAACCCACAAAAUGCCAGAGGACCUCAGCAGGUCAGGCAGCAUCUAUGGAAAUGAAUAAGCUUAGUUGAUGCUUCAGGCUGAGACUUAACAUCAGGACUGGUAGAGCUGCUGUCUGAGAGCUCCAGGGACAUGGGUUGCCCCGACAACUGGUGCUGUCCAUUUACUUUACAUGCUCUCUCUGUGACCACAUGGGUUUCUCCUACACAGGCCCUCCACACAAAUCCAGAAGGAGACGGUUGUUAAUUAACUGGCCACUGUAAACUGCGUGUUUGUAGGUGAGAAAUGGAAACUGGGAGAAUUGUGGGGAAUGUGAGGAAAAUGAAUCGUGAUCAAUAAAGAAUUAAUGUCAGUGGGUUCAUACUUUUUUGGCAUGAACUUGAUGGGUGAGGAGUAAGUUUCCCAGUGAAGGGGAGCAGAGAUUAUUUAAGAAAGGGAGUAGAGAUUAUUCGAGGAGGGGUGUAGAGAUAGACCAGGAAAUUAUACACCAGUGAGUCUUACUUCAGUGGUUGUUAAGUUGAUGGAAAAGAUCCUGAGAGGCAGGACUUAUGAACAUUUGGAGAGGCAAAAUAUGAUUAGGAAUAAUCUACAUGGCUUUGCCAAAGGCAACUUGUAUCUUACAAGCCUGAUUGAAUUUUUUGAGGAUGUGACUAAACACAUUGAUGAAGGUAGAGCUGUAAAUGUAGUGUAUAUGGAUUUCAGAAAGGCAUUUGAUAAGGUACCCCUUGCAAGGCUUAUUAAGAAAGUAAGAAGGCAUGGGAUCCAAGGGCACCUUGCUUUGUGGAUCCAGAACUGGCUUGCCCACAGAAGGCAAAGUGUGGUUGUAGAUGGGUCAUAUUCUGCAUGGAUAUCGGUGACCAGUGGUGUGCCUCAGGGAUCUGUUCUGGGACCCCUUCUGUUGCGAUUUUUAUAAAUGACCUGGAGGAGGAAGUGGGGGGAAUGGGUUAGUAAAUUUGCUGAUGACAUUAAGGUUGGAGGUGUUGUCGAUAGUGUGGAGGGCUGUCAGAGGUUACAGCGGGACAUCGAUGGGAUGCAAAAUUGGGCUGAGAAGUGGUAGAUAGAGUUAAGCUCAGAUAAGUGUGAGGUGGUUCAUUUUGUUAGGUCAAAUACAAUGACAGAUUAUAGUAUUAAUGGUAGGACUCUUGGCAGUGUGGAGGAUCAGAGGGAUCUUGGGGUCCGAAUCCAUAGGACGCUCAAAGCUGCUGCAGAGGUUGACUCUGUGGUUAGGAAUGCAUCCGGUUCAUUGGCCUUCACCAACGUGACAUUGUGUUUAAGAUCAAGAGGUAAUGUUACAGCUAAAUAGGACCCUGGUCAGAUCCCACUUGGAGUACUGUGCUCAGCUCUGGUUGCCUCACUACAGGAAGGAUGUGGAAACCAUAGAAAGGGUGCAGAGGAGAUUUACAAGGAUGUUGCCUGGAUUGGGGAGCAUGCCUUAUGACAAGAGGUUGAGUAAACUUGGCCUUUUCUGCUUGGAGCGACAGAGAAUGAGAGGUGACCUGAUAGAGGUGAAUAAGAUGAUGAGAGGCAUUGAUCGUGUGGAUAGUCAAAGGCUUGUUCCAGGGCUGAAAUGGCUAUCAUGAGAGGACACAGGUUUAAGGUGCUUGGAAGGUCCUGUAUUGAGCUGCAGUUUUUCUAUGUUUCUACAGUGUGACAAGAGACUGUGGUGAGGAUGGCUUGGAUCCAAGUGCUGGAGUUGCUGAGACUAGAAUUGACACACGACAUGGGACUGAGACAAGGACAGGGUUCUAAGUGAGAUGCCAGAUAAGAAUCCAAAGUUGAACUGCUGAUUGAGCACUGAAGCUCAAUUCAAGUGCUCUUUAAAUAUUAAAAUCCUGGCACCAAUACGCAGCCACCAAUUAGCGGGGCAGCCCUGAGUCUUUAAAGGGGCCAUGCAAGCUAGCGUCAGAGAGUCGGAGCGUCUACUCUCCAAAAACAAGCAUGGUCAAUUGUGUACCGUAACAGACGUGACUCCAUGACUCUCGGGUAUGGGCUGGGAGGUAAAUCCAUCAUCAGUUUCCACUCUUUGGAAUGUCUAAAAAUUUACAUUCCCAUAAGUUGUUGGGUGUAUUUAAGGCAGAGAUAAAUAGGUUCUUGAUUAACUGGGGCAUCAAAGGGUAUGGGGUUAAGGCAGGGCAAUGGGAAUGACUGGAUGAAGUGGAUCAGCCCAUAAUUGAAUGGUGGAGGAGACUCAAUGGGCUGAAUGGCCUACUUCUGCUCCUGAACCUUAUGGUCUUAUGGUCUUAAGAUUGGAUUAUUAGUGUUUAUGUUGAGUCUGCCAAAAUCUCAGAAGACCAUAUGUCAGAAUUAGGCCUUUCCACCCAUUGAGUCUGCUCCAUCAUAAAGAUCUUUAUAGCUCUUGAGGGUUCCUUGCACUGUUACUGUUCUAAUUGUAGGGGCAGUGAAUCAGUUCUGGGGCAGGAGAACCCCUUGAAAAAUGAGCAAGUAUCAGGGAGAGGGUCACUGAUGUGGUGAGAGAGAGGCUGAACUAAAUGGCAGGUGACAACAGAAAGACAACUAAGAUGAAUAAAGAAUUGGGAGCGGCAGAUGGAACUGGAGAAGCAAGUGUAGACACAAGGUUCUUGAGCGAGACCGGUGAGUCAAAGACAGAAACAGCUGUGUAAAAACAAGAUGUAACAAAGACUACUGGUGUCUUUUACAGUAAUGGUGGGGCUGGGCUCUCGAUAUUCCUGGCUAAAAGAUGUUCAGAAAGGAGAGAAGGAGAACAGACUGAACGGCAAUACUGAUUGAGUAAGAUGCCACUGUGGUGAAGAAGGAACCCCAGGGGUUCAAUGUAAAUUCCAUUUAAUGUGUUGCUUUUCAGUGGAAUAAAGGAAGUUACAAUUGCAUGAGAGAGGAUCUGGCCGAAGUCGAUUGGAAAGGGACAUUUGCAUGCAAGACCACAGAGCAUCAAUAGCUGGAGUUUCUGCGAAAAGUGAGGGAAGUGCAAGACAGAUAUAUUCCAAAUAAGAAGAAAUUUUCAAAUGGAAGAAGGACACUACCGUGGCUGACAAGUGAAGUCAGAGCCAAAGUAAAAGCAAAAGAGAGGGCAUGCAAGGACGGCAGAGCUCGUGGGUAGACAGAGGAUUGGAGAGCUUUUAAAGAAUUGCAGAAGUAAACUAAGAAGGUCAUUUGUAAGGAAAAGAUGAAUUAUUAGAGGAAGCUGGCGACUAAUAUCAAAGAAGAUACUAAAAGCUUUUUAAGCAUAUAAAGGGUAAAAGAGAGUCGAGGGUUGAUAAAGAACCAAUACAAAAUGACUCUGGAGAUAUCCUAAUGAGAGAUACAGUAAUGGCAGAGGAACUGAAUGUGUAUUUUGCAUCAGUCUUCCCAGUAGAAGACAGCUGCAGUAUACCAGACAUUCAAGAGUGUCAGGGAAGUGAAGUUUGUGCAGUGAACAUUACGACUGAGAAGUUGCUCAGGAAACUUAAUGGUCUGAGGAUGGAUAAAUCUCUUGGACCUGAUGGAAUGCACCCUUGGGUUCUGAAGGAAGUAGCUGGAGAGAUUGCAGAGUCAUUAAAGAUGAUCUUUCAAGAAUUGAUAGAUUCUGGCAUUGUACCAGAUGACUGGAAGACUGCAAGUGUUACUCCGCUAUUUAAGAAGGUUGGGAGGCAGCAGAUGUCACUGUUAGCCUGACAUCAGUGGUUGUGAAGUUGUUGGAAUCAAUUGUUAGGGAUGAGAUUAUGGAAUACCUGGAGGCACCUGACAAUAUAGGCCAAAGCCAGCAUGGUUUCUUGAAAGGAAAAUCCUGGCUGACAAACCUAUUACAAUUCUUUGAGGAAAUUACAAGCAGGGUAGACAAAGGAGAUGUAGUAGAUGUGGUGUACUUGGAUUUUCAGAAGGCCUUUGACAAGGUGCCACACGUGAGGCUACUUAGCAAGGUAAGAGCCCAUGGAAAUAGAUUUGUGGCUAAAUUUGCUGAUGAUACAAAGAUAGGUGGAUGAUCAGGUAGUAUUGAGGAUUCAGAGAGCCUGCAGAGAGACUUAGAUAAUUUAGGGGAAUGGUGAAGAAGUGGCUAAUGAAAUACAAUGUUGGAAAAUGUAUGGUCAUGCACUUUGGUGGAAGAAAUAAGUGGGCAGACUAUUCUUUCGAUGGGGAGAGAAUUCAAAAUGCAGAGAUGCAAAGAGACUGGGGAGUUCUUGUGCAGGAUACCUUAAAAGUUAACCUCCAGAUUGAGUCACUUGUGAAGAAGGCAAUGUUGGCAUUCAUUUCUAGAAUAUAAGAACAGGGAUGUGAUGUUGAGUGUCCAUAAGGCACUCAUGAGACCACACUUGGAGUAUUGUGUGCAGUUUUGGGCUCCUUUUUUUAGAAAGGAUAAACUGACAUUAGAGAGGGUUCAGAGAAGAUUCACGAGAAUGAUUCGAGGACUGAAAGGGUUACUGUAUGAGGAAUGUCUGGCAGUUCUUGGGCUGUAUUCCCUGGAGUUUAGAGAAUGAAGGGGGGGGGGGUGUCUCAUAGGAACAUUCCAAAUGUUAAAAGGCAUGAACAGAUUAGAUAUGGCAAAGUUAUUUCCCGUGGUAAGGGAUUCUAGGACAAGAGGGCAUGACUUCAAGUUUGAAGGAUGUCCUUUUAGAACUGAGAUGUGGAGAAAUUACUUUAGUCAGAGGGUGGUAAAUCUAUGGAAUUUGUUGUGAAGGUCAAGUCAUUGGGUGUAUUUAAGGCAGACAUAGACAGGUUCUUGAUUAUCCAGGCCAUCAAAGGGUAUGGGAGAAGACGGGGGAGUGGGGAUGACUGGAAGAAUUGGAUCAGCUCAUGAUUGUGUGACGGAACAGACUCAAGGGGCCAAAUGGCCUACUUCUGCUCUUAUAUCUUAUGAUCCAUUGGUCUUAUAAUUAUGCUCUGAACAUUGGCGCUACACUUUAGUUGUUUGUCCAUCUUUGCUUGUGUGUAGUUUUUCAUUGAUUCUAUUGCAUAUCUUUGUAUCGACUGAACCCCUGUGAAUGCCUGCAAGAAAAUUAACUCAGGAUAGUACGUGGUGACAUAUUCAGUACUGUGCAGAAGUCUUAUGCAAAUAUAUAUAUAUAUAUAGCUAGAGUGCCACAGACUUCUUUGAGGUUCAUAAUUCACUACUCUGUGGGAGAAAUCUCUUACUGAAUUGUGAGCUGCCUCAGUGACUAUCGAUGGGUAACACUCUCAUCUACAGUGCUUCGAGAGGUUGGCUACGGCUAGACCAUGAUGCCAAAUUAAACUGAUCAGGUUCUAGAUCUUUCCAUUCCCCUCUUGUUCACGUGCCUGUCUAAAUGCCUGAUAGUCUAUGCCAUUGUAUCAGGUGUCCACCACCUCCAUUGGUAACGCAUUCCAGGUUUGUACCACAUUCUGUAAAACAAAAUUACCUGAUAAAUAUCUUUUAAACACUCACCCUCACAUCUUAAACCUGUGCCCUCUGGUAUUUUACAUUUCCAUCUGGAAAUAAAACCCUGUGAAUAUGACUUUCUAUCCUUCUGUCAGGUCUCCUCUUAGCCUCCGAUGCGCCAGUGAAGACAACACAAGUAAUUGGAAAGGUCAGGGAGUGCUGUAGGUUGUGAUGAAAGCAUUGGUGAUCUAAGGAUUCAUACACAGAGGAACUGACCACAGGGAAGGAAUGUUGUGUCAAAACAGCAGUAAACAGUGGAAAGGAUAAAUACAGAACGGAAUCCAAUUCUGGUCACUUCACUUCAGAACGGAUGUGAAUAUCUGAGACAGUGUGACAGAGAGCAAUUGGUUAACACGCUCCUCAUACACACACACAUACACACACACGUGUGAGAGGCAAACUCACACUCGACAUGAAUAAGUAUGGAGUUAUUUAUGUGUUUUCUUGGAGACAUCAUUCUACAAAUGUUGGCAUUUGUCUUUUCACUGUUUUCACAGAUGUUUGGAUGUUUGAUUUUUGAUGAAGCUAAUAAAUACUGAC